UACGUAGGGGGCUAGCGUUGUCCGGAAUCAUUGGGCGUAAAGCGCGUGUAGGCGGCCCGAUAAGUCCGCUGUGAAAGUCCAGGGCUCAACCCUGGGAUGCCGGUGGAUACUGUCGGGCUCGAGUCCGGAAGAGGCGAGUGGAAUUCCUGGUGUAGCGGUGAAAUGCGCAGAUAUCAGGAGGAACACCAAUGGCGAAGGCAGCUCGCUGGAACGGUACUGACGCUGAGGCGCGAAAGCGUGGGGAGCGAACAGG
rnacentral:rRNA from 1 species